rnacentral:rRNA from 1 species
UACGUAGGGUGCAAGCGUUGCUCGGAAUCACUGGCGUAAGGCUCGUAGGCGGUCCAUCGCGUCGGGAGUGAAAAGCUGGGCUUAACCCCAGUCCUGCUUUCGAUACGGGUGGACUAGAGGUAGGCAGGGAGAAUGGAAUUCCUGGUGUAGCGGUGAAAUGCGCAGAUAUCAGGAGGAACACCGGUGGCGAAGGCGGCUUGCUGGCCAGUUCUGACGCUGAGGAGCGAAAGCGUGGGGAGCGAACAGG